GGACUGGCUAGGGAGUCUGGAAACCAGCACCGCUGGUGCUUUUGGCUUUGCCACCCUCUUCAGAAUUCAGAGCUGUCUGGAAGACUCCCCCGUGGCCAACAUGAUUGGUACCCUCUUCAAGACUGAAGCCAGUUAGACUGAUUGCCGUGGGUGAGCCCAUACUUGCCAGGUGUUGCAGACAAUAGCUGCCUUCCCUCCACAAAGUAAGGCAAACACAAGGAGGUGUGUCCCAGGAAGUCCUGUGUGCUGGCUUCCCACUGCCAGCAUCCUAUCACUGUACUAACCUUUUUGUCCUGGAUCUUAAAACUAAUCAUUUUUUCUUUGCUUGACACACUACUGUAUUUCUUUUCCCCUGCUUAUACCUAAGCCUUGCUUCAGCGGGGAAAAAAACAAUAGGAUGGGAAACUCAAAUGGGGUGAUGAUACAGAGCCACUGGGGAAUGAUAACCAAGCUCACGUGCCCAGGUUUAGUGGCCAUGCUGAGAUCUGGCUGUGCUGCUGGCUGGUUCUCGAUGGAAAAUCUCCCUUUGUAUACAGGGAAACCUGAGAAAACUAAGCGUGGUCUGAGGUCUGAAGUCCAAAUGGCCCUGCUCUCCUUUCUCUGAUGCAAGAGCCUAAAAAUAAAGCAGAGGCAACAAGUGUUAACACAGGCAUCAUUUCUCUUCCGUGGCACAGAUAUCACCCCUUUUAGUGUAAGUUGGCACAGGUGUUAUUGUGAUUCGCUACCCCCAGAGCUGAGAGACAGGAGAGUUGCUAAAAUCCUACCUGCAUCUUCAGUCAGCAAGCCAUCUCAGCAUGGAACCUACAGCAGGGACUCCACACCUUCCCCCACCAGACACAAGCUGUUCCCUCUGCUGGAACAGGAACCGGGUUGACCCCUUGAGUGUGAAGAGUCAACGUCGACACCAAAGCAUUGUGAAUUUUCCUUUCUCUUCCUUCCUGGGUCCCUCCCUGAGCAGCAUCAUUUGGGAGGCGAUGCUUUGAUCCCGGAAGACAGCGUUGUGAACGGAGUUUGCAGAUUUUGACGGAAAAGCCUGUGUUUCCGCACACAUAGCUUUGGCCCUGCUUGCUUGUUUGAGAGCAGAGCGGACAGAAUGAGCUGCCUGGGCGACCUACGCCUUUGGCAAGUUCGGAGGGCCUGAGAGGAAGAGGAGAGGGGACCAAAGGGCUCCACGUCUCAGGCUAAAAACAGCCAGCCUGGGGCUCCUCUUCUUCCUGUUCCAGUCACCUCUUCUCACAGGGAGAGCUUUUGAAAGGGCCCCCCCGCCCCAUCCCUCUGCUCCUUCCCUCCCUUCUUCCAGUGCGUCUGUGACGCCAGUUCAUUUGAAUGGCAAGCUUUUUCUGAGCUGGGAUAAGCGAGAUACAGGAAGUCACUAUUGAAAGGCUUCUUUAUGCUUGUUGUCAUCAUCACCUUAGUAUGAGGGCCAUCCAGAGUGACGGAAGCAGAAGCCUGGGCCAGCCAGGGUGCUCGGGGACCCAGAGGUGAUAGCAACCCAACCGAUCAUUCGCAGAGGUCAAGGGCCACACUGAGGUGAUGAACUUUGCUUCCUUGGGUCACAUGAGCGGAACUUCAGAUCACACUCUGAAACUUUGGGGUUUUUUAGAAGCUUUGUUGUUCUGCUAAUGACAUUCUGGGUGAGGAGGGCAAACUGAAACACCAAAGUACACCCUCCACCAAAAAAUAAAUUCUUGAUGCUUUGUGUACCUGCAAAGCCAGGAUUACAUAUGUGGUGACCCAAUGAACAUCCUUAGACUGGAUAGCAAGCAAUAUCUUACCUAUUUUUUUUUUAAUUUAUGUAUUUUAAUUGGAGGCUAAUUACUUUUGCACUCUGGUAUAGCUGAGCUCAAAUCUAGGGAUUUAUACCAAGGAUUAUCUACAUUCAAUUUUUUGUUUUCCAAAAUGCAUAGGUGGAGACUCCUUUCUAACCUACCCAUCUGCUAAAAUAAUUAGAUUGGUUGAGGCUCCAUAGUACAACGUCUAUGUUACAUGUACUUGUAUUAAUGUGGUCCCCAGGCCAGCAGCAUCGGUAUCAAUAUCAUCUAAGAACUUGAUAGGAAUGAAGUUUCUAAGGCUCCAAACUAGAACUUUGGAAUUAGAAGUUCAGGAGGUGGGAUCUGUAUUUUAACAACUCCUCUAGGAGAUUUCGAAG
ensembl:lncRNA